rnacentral:rRNA from 1 species
UACGAAGGGGACUAGCGUUGUUCGGAAUUACUGGGCGUAAAGCGCGCGUAGGCGGAUUUGUAAGUCAGGGGUGAAAUCCCGGGGCUCAACCUCGGAACUGCCUUUGAUACUGCAAAUCUCGAGUCCGAUAGAGGUGGGUGGAAUUCCUAGUGUAGAGGUGAAAAUUCGUAGAUAUUAGGAAGAACACCGGUGGCGAAGGCGGCCCACUGGAUCGGUACUGACGCUGAGGUGCGAAAGCGUGGGGAGCAAACA